ACUUUCACACCGGUCACUGAGAAAAGGGGGCCGGACUCAGUCGACUCCGUCCAGCUUUCUCCCUACAAAACGUCCUCCGUGCACAAUGUCAACCGGGACAGAAGAAAGAAGGCCCCGGAAAGAAUAUUCACCAAGUCUUUCGAUUUCCCAAACUUUGACAGGGUGUCGUCGUCAUCCAGCUCACCCUCCGGCCCGGAGGAGCCGCGCGGGACAAGUGGCUCGCAUCCGCCGGAGACAAGAGUUACUUUCGCGACACGCGCCGACCUCUUCAUAUUUACGCCAGAGUUUGUCAAAUGGUUGUGUGCUGCUAUUUAGAAUCGUCCACGCGCGUGAAACAGAGCGAAGAUGGUCGGCCGCCUACAGCAGUCGCCGCGGGGGAAGAGCUCACGGUUGCAGCAAAGACGAACGACAGCGUUGAUGCUAUCACAGACUGGAGAAGCGAGAAAGGUGUCGCACUGAAGCAGGACCGAAUCUUUGAAGACUCCGGCCAUGACGUCUUUCCUGCUGAAGCCGUCUCCUGAUGGAAAACAGCAUUCCAAUCUGAAGGGAGAGUCCCUCUCAUCAUCUCCCAACUCUUCUUGUGACAAAGACGCUCGCCGGAGAUCUUUCUUUACUGAGAACUUUAGUCCUAUUAUGGAGCUGGCAGAUCUGCCUCAGAUCCCUUUGUUCUGCAGAAUCAGCGCUUCUUUCUUGUCUUGGCUCUUAAAGGAAACACGUGAUUGACUGUAAAGAGCUUGGGAACUGUCCGUGUAUGUGAUGAAUGAUUAAAGACAUCUCAACCCUCCCUCAGAAA